AACGAACGCUGGCGGCAGGCCUAACACAUGCAAGUCGAACGCCCCGCAAGGGAGUGGCAGACGGGUGAGUAACACGUGGGAACGUGCCCUAAGGUUCGGAAUAUUCCCGGGAAACUGGGAGCAAUACCGAAUGUGACCGCAAGGUGAAAGAUUUAUCGCCUUAGGAUCGGCCCGCGUCGGAUUAGCUUGUUGGUGGGGUAAAAGCCUACCAAGGCGACGAUCCGUAGCUGGUCUGAGAGGACGACCAGCCACACUGGGACUGAGACACGGCCCAGACUCCUACGGGAGGCAGCAGUGGGGAAUCUUGGACAAUGGGCGCAAGCCUGAUCCAGCCAUGCCGCGUGGAUGAUGAAGGCCUUUAGGGUUGUAAAAUCCUUUCGUCAGGGACGAUAAUGACGGUACCUGAAGAAGAAGCCCCGGCUAACUUCGUGCCAGCAGCCGCGGUAAU
rnacentral:rRNA from 1 species